AGUGCAUUGUGGGAAACUCCCGAGCUCUCCGCGUUCGCAGCCGCCGUCGUCCCGUGGAGGAGCGCGCAGCCCAGGGGAGGCCCAUAGAAUGCCCAGGAGUGACAAGCUGUCCUGAGCCCCUCUGGUGUACUCACCUGCCUGUCCCAUACGCCCCGCCCACCAUGGAGUCCAGAGGGAAGUCGGCCAGCAGCCCUAAGCCUGACACCAAGGCGCCCCAGGCCACCACCGAGGCCAAGGUACCCCCGGCAGCCGAUGGGAAGGCCCCCUCGACCAAGCCCUCGAAGAAGGAGGCCCCGGCCGAGAAGCAGCAGCCGCCAGCGGCCCCCACCACGGUACCUGCCAAGAAGACCCUGGCCAAGGCCGACCCUGCCCUUCUCAACAACCACAGUAACCUGAAGCCGGCCCCCACGGCCCCCGCGGUCCCCAGCAGUCCUGAUGCAACCCCAGAGGCCAAGGGUCCUGGGGAUGGGGCGGAGGAGGACGAAGCUGCCGGUGGGGGGUCUGGGGGCCAAGGUCCCUGGUCCUGCGAGAACUUGAACCCCCUGCUGGUGGCUGGAGGUGUGGCCGUGGCAGCCAUAGCCCUGAUUCUCGGUACCUGAGGAAGCCAGUGCAUGCAGAGUUCACCCUUAUCUACGUGUACACACACACAUUCAUUACACACCUACAUAUGCCCCCAAUACACACACAAAGUGGAGAGGAUGCCCGAGCCCACCCCUGCUGACCCAGGACUUCCCCAACCUCCAGGGCAGAAAGAGUCCAGGCUCCGGGGUCCACAGCACAGGAUGCGGGGAGAAGGCACAGCUGGGGAACCUCAAGAAAGGAACGGACCCCAUGUGUGGGCCCCCCACCCCCGGCAGCUGGGUGAUCCUGGGCCCCCAGGGCUGGUCUCUGAGUGGGGGUGCUGGGAUGGGUUCUGCCUGGGCCCGGCCCUCGUGGGGACAUUAAAGGGCACGGUUGCUCCACUUGCCCCAGUUCUGCUCUUUGUGUACCCCUGGGGGUCUGCCUGGGCCGAUGCAGUGGGACAGACCUGGGGUGGGCAGUCACCUCAGCAGAGCCUCAGUGCCACCUCCCCACACCACCCAAGCCUAGCUGGGUGGGAAGACGGAGCCUGAAGCCUGCUUGUGGAGGGGGUGCUGCCCAAGGGUUGCCUUCCCCAGCUUGUGCUCCAGGGGAGCUCCGAUGCUGGUGGGGAGGCAGGAUGUCGAGGGCCCCUCAUAGUUGUGCCCACCCUGCCCCGCUAGACUGCCCCUCCAGCUUGCACCUGGCACCAUCUGAGUCUAACCAGCGUAUAAAUGCAAUAACAGGUAGAGUAGAACUGCUUGGCGGCGACCGUCACACACUGUCCUCAGCCCACCGUACCUGGGGAGGCCCCUUGUGCAGCCCCUCCUUAGCACAUCCAGUCCCAGCGUGGUCUUUGGCGUGCAGCAGCAGGCGAGCUCCCGGAAGGUGGUGGUGGGCACUGUGAGAACGCAGCCUGCCCUCACUGGCCAGCGGCCACAGGAACCCUGGGCCUGAGUGGAGGCUGAGUCUGAAAUAAACUCUGUUGUC
ensembl:lncRNA